GACGGAGGAGGCUAGCGUUGUUCGGAAUUACUGGGCGUAAAGCGCACGUAGGCGGCGCUGUAAGUUGGGGGUGAAAUCCCGGGGCUCAACCCCGGAAUUGCCUCCAAGACUGCGGUGCUGGAGUCUGGAAGAGGAGAGCGGAAUUCCCAGUGUAGAGGUGAAAUUCGUAGAUAUUGGGAAGAACACCAGUGGCGAAGGCGGCUCUCUGGUCCAGAACUGACGCUGAGGUGCGAAAGCGUGGGGAGCAAAC
rnacentral:rRNA from 1 species